rnacentral:rRNA from 1 species
AUACGGAGGAUGCGAGCGUUAUCCGGAUUUAUUGGGUUUAAAGGGUGCGUAGGCUGUGCGUUAAGUCAGGGGUGAAAUGCCGUCGCUCAACGACGGAGCUGCCCUUGCUACUGGCGUGCUGGAGUGCGGAUGCCGUUGGAGGAAUGAGUGGUGUAGCGGUGAAAUGCUUAGAUAUCACUCAGAACACCGAUUGCGAAGGCAUCUGACGAAUCCGUCACUGACGCUGAGGCACGAAAGCGUGGGGAUAGAACAGGAUUAGAUACCCUGGUAUUCCACGCCGUAAACGAUGAUGACUAACCGUCGGCGAUAGACAGCCGGUGGCCAAGCGAAAGCGAUAAGUCAUCCACCUGGGGAGUACGUCGGCAACGAUGAAACUCAAAUGAAUUGACGGGG